rnacentral:rRNA from 1 species
AGGGAGUUUGAUCCUGGCUCAGGGUUUGAUCCUGGCUUAGAGUUUGAUCCUGGCUCAGGAUGAACGCUGGCGGCGUGCUUAACACAUGCAAGUCGAACGAAGCAACUUAUUACGAUCCCUUCGGGGUGACGAUUUGUUGACUGAGUGGCGGACGGGUGAGUAACGCGUGGGUAACCUGCCUUGUACAGGGGGACAACAGUUGGAAACGACUGCUAAUACCGCAUAAGCGCACAGUACCGCAUGGUACAGUGUGAAAAGUUUUUUCGGUACAAGAUGGACCCGCGUCUGAUUAGCUAGUUGGUGAGGUAACGGCUCACCAAGGCGACGAUCAGUAGCCGACCUGAGAGGGUGACCGGCCACAUUGGGACUGAGACACGGCCCAAACUCCUACGGGAGGCAGCAGUGGGGAAUAUUGCACAAUGGGCGAAAGCCUGAUGCAGCGACGCCGCGUGAGCGAAGAAGUAUUUCGGUAUGUAAAGCUCUAUCAGCAGGGAAGAUAAUGACGGUACCUGACUAAGAAGCACCGGCUAAAUACGUGCCAGCAGCCGCGGUAAUACGUAUGGUGCAAGCGUUAUCCGGAUUUACUGGGUGUAAAGGGAGCGUAGGCGGUUUUACAAGUCUGAUGUGAAAGCCCGGGGCUCAACUCCGGUAUUGCAUUGGAAACUGUAGAACUAGAGUGUCGGAGGGGUAAGUGGAAUUCCUAGUGUAGCGGUGAAAUGCGUAGAUAUUAGGAGGAACACCAGUGGCGAAGGCGGCUUACUGGACGAUUACUGACGCUGAGGCUCGAAAGCGUGGGGAGCAAACAGGAUUAGAUACCCUGGUAGUCCCCU